GGGCAGUAGCCCAGUGGUAGUGUGUGUUGUUGUAGUCCAGGGGGUCCUGGGUUCGAAUCCAUGUACCCC
rnacentral:tRNA from 1 species